UUCCCGAGAGAGGAAAACACUCUUGGGAGAGAGAAACAUAACCCCAAUUGUUGCAAAAUGUCAUUCAACGAUGUAACAGUUCCAGAUGUGAGAGCUUAAGCAAUAAUACGGUUCCAAGUUGUACAAAUGGACAAUAAUAACCGUACAAGUGCAAGGUAAUAUUAACUUUAAGUUAUUAAUAAUAAUAUUAAUAAUGUAACGUCUGAAAAAUCACUUAUAUAUAUACUAAUAAGAUUAAAUUAGCGAGAGUCAAGCUUCAUCAGCAUUAUUAGCAAUCUCCGCACUCAACAGUACAGUGAGCACUUCAUCCUAAUACAGAGGAUAACCUCCAAAAGGAUAACUCAUAACACAAGAUGCAAGUGUCUGUUGCCAAAUCAAUUGGGUUGUUGCCACAAUAUUGUCAACACUAUUAUACACUCAACAAGAAAAAGAGCGGAAGAGAACUUCAAGGUUGCGAGGGCUCCACAUAAGGUUGACGUAGACCACCAUCAAACCCCAGAGCCUCAGUACAUCCGCAGUAACAAUGUCUGGAAGAAAAGUCUAGACGCCUCCGAAAAGCACCUCUGCAUUAGUUGACACAUAUAGAAGGCUUCAUUCACUUCCAAUCACAGGUUAUAGAAUAUCAAUGUCAAGGCAUGAUCACCUAUAUCAGUGUAUCUUAUGGACUGUAUCAAGAUGAUGUUUAUCGUAUAAAGUAAUGUUAUUAUCAGAUUUUAAUGGACACAAAGUAUAUAGUGCCAUAAUAAAUUGACACCCCAAUAUAAUAUCCAGUCGAACUGAAAAUUAUAAGGACUCAAAAACAAAAAGGAAAUAGUAUUUUAUAGGCAGCGGGUCACACAAUUCACUAUAAUUCAUAGUCUAUUGUCUUCCGCGGAUGUUUAGACACCAGAAUAUUUACAAUACUAAAUUAUUUGGAUUAUAGUUUCCAAACUUUAUUAAAGAUUGUGAAAAAAUAGAGUGCAAGAUGUCAAAAACAAUUCCAUAUCCAGCUAUAUCAUGCCAUAUGGCCGAGCAUUACGAAGACUCAAUAACACUGACAAAAUAGAAUUCUAUGGACAGUCUGAUCACGCACUUAACUACAAAGUAUUCAAUCAUCAAAAUGGAUGUGACUUGUUGAUUAGCUAGACACGAAUGUAAUAUAGUAUAUCUGAUGUCCUGUUAAUACCAAAUAUUGCAAAGGCAAAGUGAAUUGCCCAUAAAUAAUUAUGCAUGAAGUGCAUAGAAAACCAUUGAGCUGGUCAUUAUGAGAUUCAGAGUCAAUACUGGUGGGCAAUAGGAUCACGCCCUACAUAAGCACACAAAAGCACUUUCCGGUAUCAUCGGGGUAUAAAUUCUCACUAAUGAUGAAAAGGCGAUUAUUACAUCACUCAGAAGAAAGAAGGAAGGAACAAGGCACACAUGAUCCAUCCUACUAAUGUUAUAGCGAUAGACAAAAUCCCAGCUAAUUUACACAUUAUGUGUCGAAAAUAAUAUUAGGUUUUCACUUAUGUUAUUAUCAGAUUUUAGUGGACACAAAGUAUAUAGUGCCAUAAUAAAUUGACACCCCAAUAUAAUAUCCAGUCGAACUGAAAAUUGUAAGGACUCAAAAACAAAAAGGAAAUAGUAUUUUAUAGGCAGCGGAUCACACAAUUCACUAUAAUUCAUAGUCUAUUGUCUUCCGUGGAUGUUUAGACACCAGAAUAUUUACACUACUAAAUUAUUUGGAUUAU